rnacentral:lncRNA from 1 species
AAUGCCACUUAUAAACAGGGUAUUGUAAUGUGCACUGAAGUUGCAUGUACUAAAGAUUGGAGUAGCUAUUGGUAGUCAAUGAAUAAUGGAUGGGAAUGAUUAAUGACUUUGUGAGAUAAGGGAUAAUUAGAUUUGGCAUGUGCAUCCACUAUUUAAGCAAAUUGGUGUGUGGAAUGCAUGGUUGAAAGAGAUAGAGACAAGUGACAUUAAGCUUUGAUGAUUCAAACGGGUCUCCUGAGAAUAGAUGAUCCAAAUUCUCUUCUAAUUUUUCCCCAACAACUCAACACAACCAUAAAGGUAACCCUGGAUCUUAUUGUUAUGCUAGCAAUGGUUGUCACAGCAGCAGAGUAACACACACAGAAGCCCAGGCAAGCCUAUUUACACCUUUCUGCCUUGGGGUCAUUUACCCAUUUCCCAGAGCUCAGUCAUUUACUCAAAUAAUGCUCCACUGUGUAUGGACACAGUUAGGUUGGAGGACAAGAGCUCUUGGCAAAAUGAUGAAGAAACAACCGUUUUCUAUAACACCUCCUGCAAACCUCCCCGUAGGUCUCCGAUGUGCACACACAUAUCGGAUAUGUGCACACACAUAUCGGUCAUACACAUAGACAAGCCUACCUGUGCCGUCUUAGGCAAUGAACCAGCAUAGUGCCCUAUGACUGCUCACCUGUUCACUUUGUGAACAGGUACAGGUACCUGUUCAUUUUGCAGGCAGUGUAACGCUUUGGAUUUUCUUUAUUCUUAUCAAACUAUUUAUGUCCCACUUCCCUUGUUGGCAGUUUUCUAGUUAAACCAGGGAAUUAAUUCCAACGUGUUAAUGCUAUACUUCUCAAUCUCGAAGUAGAAACACAUUGAUGAAGGAAGUGGAGAGGAGAUGAAGCAUAAUAUGGCGAAUACUGGAAACCUAGUCCUCUUCCACCUUUAUAACGGAAAGGAAAAUGAAUAUACCUAAGGAUCUAGCUGAUGAUCUGGAUGAUAAAACUUGAGAAAAUGUCCCAGGAAACAAAAAGAAGAAAAGACAAAGGGAAGAAUAAUAAAGGAAAAGAUUAUUUUAAUGGAAAAAAUAUACAAUAUUCUGGAUUUUAUCUAACAAGAGUUCCAGGUGAAAAGAACUGUGAUAGUGAAUGAAAGAAACAAGGAAAUAAAUUAGAAAAAGAUUAUCUUCAGAGAAGGGAAGGCACAUCUUCUUAUUAAAAACAUACAAAGGCUGAUUAGAAUUUUAAAAAGCUCCAAAUCCUGUGAAGUUUCAGAACUCCCAGGAUAGGGAAACUUUCCUCAAUCUUCCAUAGAGAG